UGAGUAACCUGCCCUUCACUCUGGGAUAACUCCGGGGAAACCGGGGCUAAUACUGGAUAUGACUCGAACAGGCAUCUGUUUCGGGUGGAAAGAUUUAUUGGUGGAGGAUGGACUCGCGGCCUAUCAGCUUGUUGGUGAGGUAAUGGCUCACCAAGGCGACGACGGGUAGCCGGCCUGAGAGGGCGAUCGGCCACACUGGGACUGAGACNCGGCCCAGACUCCUACGGGNGCA
rnacentral:rRNA from 1 species